GAUGAACGCUGGCGGCGUGCUUAACACAUGCAAGUCGAACGAAGCACUUUUACAGAUUUCUUCGGAAUGAAGUUUUAGUGACUGAGUGGCGGACGGGGGAGUAACGCGUGGGUAACCUGCCUCACACAGGGGGAUAACAGUCGGAAACGACUGCUAAUACCGCAUAAGCGCACAGUACCGCAUGGUACGGUGUGAAAAACUCCGGUGGUGUGAGAUGGACCCGCGUCUGAUUAGUUAGUUGGUAAGGCAACGGCCUACCAAGGCGACGAUCAGUAGCCGACCUGAGAGGGUGACCGGCCACAUUGGGACUGAGACACGGCCCAAACUCCUACGGGAGGCAGCAGUGGGGAAUAUUGCACAAUGGGGGAAACCCUGAUGCAGCGACGCCGCGUGAGCGAAGAAGUAUUUCGGUAUGUAAAGCUCUAUCAGCAGGGAAGAAGAAAUGACGGUACCUGACUAAGAAGCACCGGCUAAAUACGUGCCAGCCGCCGCGGUAA
rnacentral:rRNA from 1 species